rnacentral:rRNA from 1 species
AGAGUUUGAUCCUGGCUCAGAUUGAACGCUGGCGGCAUGCCUUACACAUGCAAGUCGAACGCGAAAGGGGGCAACCCCGAGUAGAGUGGCGAACGGGUGAGCAAUACAUCGGAACGUGUCCUGUAGCGGGGGACAACCUCGAGAAAUCGAGGCUAAUACCGCAUACGAUCUACGGAUGAAAGUGGGGGACCGCAAGGCCUCACACUAUAGGAGCGGCCGAUGCCGGAUUAGCUAGUUGGUGGGGUAAUGGCCUACCAAGGCGACGAUCCGUAGCUGGUUUGAGAGAACGACCAGCCACACUGGGACUGAGACACGGCCCAGACUCCUACGGGAGGCAGCAGUGGGGAAUUUUGGACAAUGGGCGAAAGCCUGAUCCAGCCAUGCCGCGUGAGUGAAGAAGGCCUUCGGGUUGUAAAGCUCUUUCGGCGGGGACGAAAUUGCGCGGGGUAACAUCCCGCGUAGAUGACGGUACCCGAAGAAGAAGGACCGGCUAACUACGUGCCAGCAGCCGCGGUAAUACGUAGGGUCCAAGCGCUAAUCGGAAUUACUGGGCGUAAAGCGUGUGCAGGCGGUUUCGAAAGUCCGAUGUGAAAUCCCCGAGCUUAACUUGGGAACUGCGUUGGAAACUACGAGGCUAGAGUGCGGCAGAGGGGGGUGGAAUUCCAGGUGUAGCAGUGAAAUGCGUAGAGAUCUGGAGGAACACCGAUGGCGAAGGCAGCCCCCUGGGUUAGCACUGACGCUGAGACACGAAAGCGUGGGGAGCAAACAGGAUUAGAUACCCUAGUAGUCC